rnacentral:tRNA from 1 species
GAAAAUUUAGUUACAGAUUAAUAAUAUAGAGUUGUCAACCCUAAGUUGCCAUAAGCAAUUUUCA